rnacentral:rRNA from 1 species
UACAGAGGUCUCAAGCGUUGUUCGGAUUCAUUGGGCGUAAAGGGUGUGUAGGUGGCGCCGUAAGUCGGGUGUGAAAUUUCGGAGCUUAACUCCGAAACUGCAUUCGAUACUGCGGUGCUUGAGGACUGGAGAGGAGACUGGAAUUCAUGGUGUAGCAGUGAAAUGCGUAGAGAUCAUGAGGAAGACCAGUGGCGAAGGCGGGUCUCUGGACAGUUCCUGACACUGAGACACGAAGGC